AGGCACCACAAGCCAAGGGACACCACAGCCCCCAGCUGGGAGAGGCAGCAGGCCCUUCUCUAGAGACUGAUGCAAGGGUGGAGUUCUGCAGCCUCUGUGGAACCGUCCUCGACAUCUCCAUUUCGGUCUUACCUUUCACCCGAUCUGUCAGGAAGUCCUGGGCCACUUGCAUCUAAUCACUGUUCAGAGCUGAGGACCGACCAUUCCGCAGACACUUUAGGAACGUGCUGGACAUGCUGCUUAGCUACGUCUGACCCUCCUCCAGGCUGGCCUGAGUGUAAACUAUGGAGCGGACCUCCAAGAGAUGGGGAAGCUGGGACCCACUCUGCCCUGGUCUCAGAGUGUGAGCCCUUGCCAGGUCCCAGGGAGGGAUGGCUAUAGGGUGCUGCAUCCUCCACCUUCCCAAGGUGGGGCCUGAGAGCUGGGGUGGCAAGGCAGCCUCCUCCCCCACAGCUGCUCCGCUGAGCUGGAUGGACAGUGUGACCUUUGCAGAUAUCCUCAGUCCAGACAAAAGCUGCAGAUUGUAAUC